rnacentral:rRNA from 1 species
GCAUGCCUACAACAUAGCGUUAAUGCAUCGGAUCCUAGUAGAACUCCACAGUUAAGCGUGCUCGGUAUAGAGUAGUACUGAGAUGGGUGACUGCUCGGGAAGUACUAGUAUUUUACAUGCC